rnacentral:piRNA from 1 species
UGGGAUGGAUGGCAUGCCAUUGUGUACUCUC